GACGAACCGAGCGAACGUUGUUCGGAAUCACUGGGCUUAAAGGGCGCGUAGGCGGGCUCUCAAGUCCGGGGUGAAAUCCCACAGCUCAACUGUGGAACUGCCUCGGAUACUGGGGGUCUCGAGGGUGGUAGGGUGAUGCGGAACUAUCGGUGGAGCGGUGAAAUGCGUUGAUAUCGAUAGGAACUCCGGUGGCGAAGGCGGCAUACUGGACCACAUCUGACGCUGAGGCGCGAAAGCCAGGGGAGCAAACGGG
rnacentral:rRNA from 1 species